GUGCACAUCUCGCCUUCCUGAGGAACCCUCUGGCACCGUCCUCCGCUGGGGAAUUGAACACAGCACCAGCCCUCUUCACAGUCACUGGCUGUAUCAUCCGGCUUGUUUUUACGACCUUGUCUCUUCUUUGUGCCCUUGCAUCUGUUUCCCUGGAUUCAGGGAAGAGAUAAGUAAGAGCUUUAUGGGACAGCAGAGAAGUAAGAGUGAGUGAUGUGGAAUGAAUGAAGUCUGCAUCCUGCUUGGCUCAUUACAGUGAUGUCUAGUUUGUUACACCAUACUUAACCAAGGCUCACACUGUCAAGCAGCGGGAAUCAGAAUCCACAACGGAAAACAACUAUCACAAGCCCUGAAGCGGAAAAAGAUUAGAGCUGGAGCAGGCGAUGAGAAGACAUGGUAGUAUUCAGGGAGAACCUAAACUAUCAUUCAGAAAUGGAGGGAAAAGAGAUAUGAGGAGAAAAAGAAAAGAAGAGAAAAAAACAACAACAACAACAGCUGGAAAACUGUAAACAACUUUAGAGGCAAGUAGAAUAAAUGUCCACAUAAUAAUCAGAAAUAUCAUGUUGAUUUUUUAUUUAUUUUUUUUUUUUGUUUACUGUGUAUAUCUUAAUAUCCACCAUUUUGUGAGUCUUCCUGAUCGUGCAUUGUUGUAACGUGUGAAAUCUCUCUCUGAUGGUUUUGCUAUUUUAAAGUAUACAAUAUAGAACUUGCAUCUUUAAAUGAUUACCUUUAUAAUAAUUUAUCAUUUAUUUAUAACUUUUCUGAACAGUUCUGCUCA